rnacentral:rRNA from 1 species
AUUGAACGCUGGCGGCAGGCCUAACACAUGCAAGUCGAACGGAGUGGCGGACGGGUGAGUAAUGUCUGGGAAACUGCCUGAUGGCGGGGGAUAACUACUGGAAACGGUAGCUAAUACCGCAUACUAUCAGAUGAGCCUAGGUCGGAUUAGCUAGUUGGUGGGGUAAAGGCCAACCAGGGCGACGAUCCGUAACUGGUCUGAGAGGAUGAUAAGCCACACGGGAACUGAGACAGGGUCCAGACUCCUACGGGAGGCGGCAGUGGGGAAUAGUGGACAAUGGGCGCAAGCCUGAUCCAGCCAUGCCGCGUGUGUGAAGAAGGUCUUCGGAUUGUAAAGCACUUUAAGUUGGGAGGCGUUACCAGCAGAAUAAGCACCGGCUAACUUCGUGCCAGCAGCCGCGGUAAUAC